rnacentral:piRNA from 1 species
UCACAUGUUGAUGCCAGCUCACAAACA